AAGAGUUAGGGUCCUCUGGGCCCGACCUCCCAACCCUUUGUUUACUGAACCUCUGUUGCUUCGGCGGACCCGCCUCACGGCCGCCGGAGGAUCGCCCCCAGGCGUCCUCUGGCCAGCGCCCGCCGACAGCCACUCUCAAAACUCUUGAAUAAAUCAUGUCAUUGUCUAAGUUAUGAUGCAAAUCAAUAAAGCA
rnacentral:misc_RNA from 1 species